CCUCACUUUGGCCAGAGGAGACGACCGCCCUCUCCGCGCGCUGAACGCGUCUCCAGCAGCUCGCAGGCUUCAGCGAGAGCCGUUCGACAUCUCCAUUGUCACGUGAUCUCUUAACGUGUCGGACCGCAACCCCAGAGUUGUAGGUGGCUGGUGAAACAAGGCCCUCAGGGACCUACAGUUUUCAGAUGCCGCCAACUCCUAUUCAGGUGAAGACCUUGGGCCAAGCUGUGGAGCUUUGGGAACCUUCGAGUGAACUCAGCAGAGGAAUUGAAGACGUCCGAUCGGCUUCUCCCUCCGCUCUAUGCAAAGACUGAAUUUGGACAAGAUGCACUUGGACUUAUGGAGUUGCGCGCCUGGACUGUGGCCACUCACCUCCGGCAGGGCUCCUAACUCUUGGUGCAGAGCGGACUCAUGACGUUCAACAUACAAAGAUGAAGACAAACAACCGGCCGGUGUCUAUCUCAUGCGACUCACAGCCGCUCUUCUCUGGGCUGCGACGCGUUCACCGGGUGCCA